UGUGUCCAUCCACGGGCCUGAUCCCUGACUGCGUAGACGUUGCCAGAGACGGCUGCUUUAAAAACUGGUGCAGGAAGUGUGCUCCCGGCUUCUUCAUCAGCGGGACAGCUUGUGAUGUCUGCCCCCCACCUGGUGUAGGCUGUCAACUUGCUGAAUGUAAUUCUACCCAAGACUCGCGCUGUGUCACAUGUUUCCAUGGCUACGACUUAAAGGGUGGAAUCUGCACACAUUCCCAUGGCAACGAAUCAGUUACUUCCUCUACUCAGUG